rnacentral:rRNA from 1 species
CCUGCCCGGUGACUUAGUGUUAAACGGCCGCGGUAUCCUAACCGUGCAAAGGUAGCGCAAUCAAUUGCCUCAUAAAUCGAGGCCUGUAUGAAUGGCUAAACGAGGUCUUAACUGUCUCUUACAGGCGAUCGGUGAAAUUGAUCUCCCUGUGCGAAAGCAGGGAUAACAACAUAAGACGAGAAGACCCUGUGGAACUUAAAAAUCAGCAGCCACCCUAGAACACAUUCAAUCCCACUGGGUUCACGCAUUUAUAGGCUAUUGGCCUGCAUUUUUCGGUUGGGGCGACCUUGGAGAAAAACAAAUCCUCCAAAUACUGGACCACACCUCCAGACUGAGAGCGACCUCUCAACGUGCUAAUAGCAACCAGACCCAAUAUAAUUGAUCAAUGGACCAAGCUACCCCAGGGAUAACAGCGCAAUCUCCUCCGAGAGUCCGUAUCGACGAGGAGGUUUACGACCUCGAUGUUGGAUCAGGACAUCCUAGUGGUGCAGCCGCUACUAAGGGUUC